UGGUAAAAUUUUAUCCGUUUCUACAGUUAAAAACUAAUGUUCUUGAUAGAAUAACUGUGUGGUGUGCCAUUUGUACCUCAUUGUAACACCCAGGAUCAAUGUUUAAAAAUAAAAAUGGAUAAAAUUUUUAACA
rnacentral:pre_miRNA from 1 species